rnacentral:snRNA from 1 species
AACAGCUCUCCUAACAGCGUAACU